CGUGGGGAGUGACGCUUUUCGGUAGUGUAAACCCUUUCCGAUCGGGACGAAUGCCUCGCAAGAGGAGUGACGGUACCGGUAGAAGAAGCCCGGCUAACUACGUGC
rnacentral:rRNA from 1 species